GGUGUUUAAUAAUUUUUUUUCCUGAUUUGAGAAAGGAUUGCAAUUGCAUGUGAUCUUCCCUUUCUUCACAUGGUAUCAUAGCCACAAGAAUGGUAAUAUGUGUUUCGAGAUCUUUUUGGUGAAGAAGAUAAUAUUUUUUGACAAUGAAAAAUUAUAAUCGAGUUAGUGGAUUUGAUAUUGAACUUCUCAAUCAAUCUAAUU
rnacentral:lncRNA from 1 species